CUGUGUAUGGCAGGGGGCGGAGGCAGGGAGAAGGAGUGAGAGAGUGCUCUGGUGUCUCUUCUAAUAAAGACACCAAUCCUAUUGGAUCAGUGUUGCACCCUUACAAUCUCAUUUAAACUUAAUUACUUCCAUAUAAGUCUCAUCUCCAAAUACAGCCACACUGAGGGUUAAGGAUUCUACAUAUGAAUUUUGAGAGGCAAAAACUCUCAGUCUACAACACUAGUUUUUUUUUUUUUUUUUAAUUUUGUAGAUUGUUCUUUUGGUGUCCUAUUUAAAAAAUUAUUUCCUAACCCAAGGUCACAAAAGUUUCCUUCUGUAUUUUAUUGUUUUAGAUUUUACAUUUAGGUCUAUGAUCCAUUUUGAUUUAAUUUUCAUAUCUCUGUGAGAUUCUCUAUACAGGCUGACCCCUAUGGCCUACUAAGAAUGAAUAAUUAAAACUCUAGGAAUCCCAGGGUUUGUUGGAGUUCAGGGUUGUCGCUGAGUGGUGGAAAUAUUGUUCUCAACCAAAAAAAAAAAAAAAAAUGUGGGGAUUACAUGCCAGUACCAUCCACCCCUGCAUUAGAAGUUUUCAUCGAAGAGCUUCAUUUCACAAGGUCUUUGAUGGAACAACAGAAGAGACAGGGCUCAUCUGACUGAUCCAAGGAGCAAGGACACCCAGGACUUAUCUUUAGAUCUCACCUCACCUGCCUGAGCAAGCCAGUGAGAAUGGGAUGUAAGGAGUCAGCUCUAGAGGUCUAAAGAAUCAUCUAACAGGGAAAGCUGAAUGUAUGGACAUUCUGCGGUCUUCUGCCACCCAGAAGUACAGGGCAAGAUGUCCAGAAUGUGGAUCCUAUCUCUGACCUUAUCCCAUUUUUUCAGUUAUUCUCAGCAGUCACUUUUUUGCUUCUUUCAGCGUUGAUCUCACCUCCUCGAAGAUGACACAUCUGAUCCCUCUGUCUAAAAUAACAUCUUUAACAUUAAGAAAUCUCAAGUUUUCCAUUUGAGAAAUCUUCUGGAUUCUGCAUUCCAGUGGUUCCACUGAAGCCAGUAGGGCUGAAUACCCCAUGUAGGAACAGACUCAGCACAAGAAUGUAGGUUCUACAUUCUUAUCAUUUCAUUCCCCAUGCCCUAACCAAUCAGUGAUCCCAAUUCCUCAGCCCACUAUUCUCCAAAAUUUCCUUAAAUAUGCCCAUCCAAAACCCCUCAGGGAAGCAGAUUUGAGGUUCCCUUCAGUUCCCUUCUUUGGUUGCCCUAUGAUUAUUAAACUAUUUCUCUACUGCAACUCUUGCUGUUUCAG
rnacentral:lncRNA from 10 species